GACGAACGCUGGCGGCGUGCCUAAUACAUGCAAGUCGAACGCUGAAGGAGGAGCUUGCUUCUCCGGAUGAGUUGCGAACGGGUGAGUAACGCGUAUGUAACCUGCCUGGUAGCGGGGGAUAACUAUUGGAAACGAUAGCUAAUACCGCAUAACAGUAGAUAUUGCAUGAUAUCUGCUUGAAAGGUGCAAUUGCAUCACUACCAGAUGGACCUGCGUUGUAUUAGCUAGUUGGUGGAGUAACGGCUCACCAAGGCGACGAUACAUAGCCGACCUGGGAGGGGGAUCGGCCACAAUGGGACUGAGAACCGGCCCAGACCCCCACGGGAGGGAGCAGGAGGGAAUCUUGGGCAAAGGACGGAAGGCUGACCGGGCAACGCCGGGGGAGGGAAGGAGGGUGUCGGAUCGGAAAGCUCGGGUGUAAGGGAAGAAAGAGUGGGAGAGGGGAAAGUGCACACUGUGACGGUACCUUACCAGAAAGGGACGGCUAACUACGUG
rnacentral:rRNA from 1 species